rnacentral:rRNA from 1 species
AUUGAACGCUGGCGGCGUGCCUUAUACAUGCAAGUCGAACGAACACAUGGGUGCUUUCACCUGGUGGCGAGUGGCGCACGGGUGUGUAUUACAUGGGGAUAAGUCCUGUAUAGGGGUGUAGUCCGUCGAGAGCACGAUUAAUACCGCCUACGAUUAUCGGAAACCAGCGGGGUCCCUUCUGACCUCGGGCUUUGCUGUUGGUCGUUGGCGGAUUAGCUCGUUGGUAGGGUAAAGGCCUACCAAGGCAACGAUCAGUAGCUGGUCUGAGAGGACGACCAGCCACACUGGGACUGAGACACGGCCCAGACUCCUACGGGAGGCAGCAGUAGGGAAUUUUGCGCAAUGGGCGAAAGCCUGAUCCAGCAAUGCCGCGUGUGUGAAGAAGGCCUUCGGAUUGUAAAACACUGUUAUCAGGGAAGAACACAUGGGUAAGAAUACAGGCAGGUGUUGACGGUACCGGAAGAGUAAGCACCGGCUAACUACGUG